GUUCAGAUGUUCAAACAACAGAAGAGACGAGCACUGAUAAUGGGUCAAAUGCACCUCUCCAGACUGCCUUAGAAUUCGCACCAUUUGUAGGUAGUGUGGAUGCUGGCUUACCCAUCACACCCUGCAAGAUGGAGAAUGUGAAGGGAAGCCUCGGCCGGAAAGGGAAAUCAGAACAUUGCAGCAAGGAUCUUGAUAAUGGAUCGGGGAAGGAGGAUGGACCACAAGUUGGCUGUUCUUCAAAGAAGAGAGUUGGAGAAUGGCAUGAAGAAUGUGCUGGAACUGGAGAUAAGGAUUUUGAGUAUUAUGUCAAAGUAGUUAGAUGGUUAGAGUGUGGUGAGCAUAUUGACAAGACAUUCAGGCAGAAGUUCUUAACGUGGUAUAGCUUAAGAGCUACACCACAAGAUGUUAGGAUUGUCAAGGCAUUUGUUGAUACCCUAAUCGAAGAUCCAGCAUCACUUGCUGGGCAGCUGGUUGAUACUUUCUCUGAUGUUAUUUCAAGCAAGAGAGCUUCUGUAGUUCCAGCAGGCUUUUGCCUAAAGCUUUGGCAUUAAAGGAUUCAGAAUGUGGAUCCUCUAUCCUCUAUAGUCGCUGCUUAACUGAACAUAAUUCUUUUGAUUCCCAAAUUGUUCCAUGUCGAUUCAUAUUUAUGAUGUAAACGAUUAAAUCAUCUUUAAUUAUUAUUUUUUUUUCCUUAUAGGUUGGUUCUACCCAAUUCAUCCACAUUUCUCUCUGAUGU
rnacentral:misc_RNA from 1 species